rnacentral:rRNA from 1 species
UACGGAGGAUGCAAGCGUUAUCCGGAAUGAUUGGGCGUAAAGCGUCCGCAGGUGGCUGUGUAAGUCUGCUGUUAAAGAGCCAUGCUCAACAUGAUAAGAGCAGUGGAAACUACACGGCUAGAGUGCGUUCGGGGCAGAGGGAAUUCCUGGUGUAGCGGUGAAAUGCGUAGAGAUCAGGAAGAACACCGGUGGCGAAAGCGCUCUGCUAGGCCGCAACUGACACUGAGGGACGAAAGCUAGGGGAGCGAAUGGG